UACGGGGGGGGCAAGCGUUGUUCGGAAUUACUGGGCGUAAAGGGCUCGUAGGCGGCCAACUAAGUCAGACGUGAAAUCCCCAGGCUCAACCUGGGAACUGCGUCUGAUACUGGAUGGCUUGAAUCCGGGAGAGGGAUGCAGAAUUCCAGGUGUAGCGGUGAAAUGCGUAGAUAUCUGGAGGAACACCGGUGGUGUAGACGGCUUUCUGGACCGUAACUGACGCUGAGACACGAAAGCGUGGGUAGCAAACAGG
rnacentral:rRNA from 1 species